rnacentral:misc_RNA from 1 species
UUAACUUAUUACAAUAUUACUCAGACAACACAAAAAUCAAGAGUUUAGGGUCCUCUGGCAGGCGCGGACCAGCCAAAGCCAGUGGUCAAGAGACGGGCCUGCCAAAGCAACAAAGGUAAUGUAAACAAAGGGUGGGAGAUCUACCCUGAAGGGCAAUUUCUCUGUAAUGAUCCUUCCGCAGGUUCACCUACGGAACGCAUGGUCUACAACCUUUUCAUUCACCUACGGAACGCAUGGUCUACAACCUUUUCAGAGGUAGGCCGGUCAUAUCUGAAUCCAAGACAGGUUGAAAUUCUUGGACCACCUUCGUUUGAUCUGUGGACUGCUGUGUGCAGCUGCAUGUUACCCUGAUGGUAUCCAAGCAUAGUGAAGAUGUUGCCUACGUAGGUAGACUGGUAUCCAAGGCUUCUGCAGGUGGUGUUCCUCAAGAGAAA